GUCUGGGCAUCUGACUGUCAACUGUUGGAGAUGAUUUUAUAUUUACUGCUGGAUUUCCAGAGCUGCUCACUGUCACUCCUCGUUUCUCUUCUAUUGUCCUGUAUCCCAAGAAAUUGAGAAUAAAUAAAUAAAUAGAGAUGAUACAAAAUUUAAAACCUGAUGCACUAGAAAGUUCUCUCAAAUGGACGUCUAUAAGUGUACAUUACAGCAUACCAUUUCUUAAACAUGUAGAACUGCUUUUUCUUUUGUUUUCUCCUUUACUUUUAUAUUUCUUUUAAUUUUUUUAUUUUUUUUGUGUGUGUGUAGAGAGGGGGAGUCGUAGUGUUGCCGUGUGCCCAUGUCAAAAGUUCUCAAUUAAGCAAAAGCAAGACUGAAGCCCAAAAGUUUUGCAGUUGGUAUCCUACUAAUCAUGAAACAACUGAAGAGAACAAGAAACACAGGCUACCAGUAGUUUCAUCAAUGUUUUCAGCAUCUGCAAGUUCCAGAAUCCCUCUUUCAAGUGUGUUCAUGG
rnacentral:lncRNA from 1 species